CCCACCCAGGGAGGAAUGCCUUGGCACCAGCCAGUGUCAUGCCAGCUAUGAGUCAGUAAGACUGAGUCCCUGAUUCCGUUUACCAUGAGCCAACACCCAGGAGGAUUGGUCACUUGAGGAGACGGUGCUUGUCCAGUGUGCCAUUCACAGUCACCACAUUCCAGACACGAGAAGCCAUUGAAGAAGUACAAGAAGUAGACUAAACGUAGUGUUACACCCAUGACUGCCAAAAUUAAUAAAAGGCAAACUUCAUGGACACCUUGUCAUUACAC